rnacentral:rRNA from 1 species
AACGAACGCUGGCGGCAUGCCUAACACAUGCAAGUCGAACGAGACCUUCGGGUUUAGUGGCGCACGGGUGCGUAACGCGUGGGAACCUGCCCUUAGGUUCGGAAUAACUCCCCGAAAGGGGUGCUAAUACCGGAUAAUGUUUUCGGACCAAAGAUUUAUCGCCUUUGGAUGGGCCCGCGUUGGUUUAGCUAGUUGGUAGGGUAAAAGCCUGCUAAGGCGACGAUCCAUAGCUGGUCUGAGAGGAUGAUCAGCCACACUGGGACUGGGACACGGCCCAGACUCGUACGGGAGGCAGCGGAUGGGAAUAUAGGGGAAUGGGCGAGAGGCUGAUCCAGCAAUGCCGCGUGGGUGAUGAAGGGGUUAGGGUUGUAAAGCUCUUUUACCCGGGAUGAGAGUGACAGUACCGGGAAAAUAAGCUCCGGCUAACUCCGUG